AGCUCGUGUCGUGAGAUGUUCGGUUAAGUCCGGCAACGAGCGCAACCCACACUUCCAGUUGCCAUCAUUUGGUUGGGCACUCUGGAAGAACUGCCGAUGAUAAGUCGGAGGAAGGUGUGGAUGACGUCAAGUCCUCAUGGCUCUUACGGGUUGGGCUACACACGUGCUACAAUGGUGGUGACAGUGGGUUAAUCCCCAAAAGCCAUCUCAGUUCGGAUUGGGGUCUGCAACUCGACCCCAUGAAGUUGGAAUCGCUAGUAAUCGCGGAACAGCAUGCCGCGGUGAAUACGUUCCGGGCC
rnacentral:rRNA from 1 species